rnacentral:rRNA from 1 species
UACGUAGGUGGCAAGCGUUUGUUCGGAAUUAUUGGGCGUAAAGGGCGCGUAGGCGGUUUGUUAAGUCAGCUGUGAAAGCCCGGGGCUCAACCCCGGGAGGGUCAGCUGAUACUGGCAGGCUAGAGUACAGAAGAGGUAACUGGAAUUCCCGGUGUAGCGGUGAAAUGCGUAGAUAUCUGGAGGAACACCGGUGGCGAAGGCGGCAUCCUGGACCGGCAUUGACGCUGAGGAGCGAAAGCCAGGGGAGCAAAGCGGG